UACAGAGGUCUCAAGCGUUGUUCGGAAUCACUGGGCGUAAAGGGUGCGUAGGCGGUGCGGCAAGUCAGAUGUGAAAUCCCGGGGCUCAACCUCGGAACUGCAUCCGAUACUGCCGGACUUGAGUUCUGGAGAGGUAUGUGGAAUUCAUGGUGGAGCAGUGAAAUGCGUGGAUACCAUGAGGAACGCUAAUGGCGUAGGCAGCAUACUGGACAGUUACUGACGCUGAGGCACGAAGGCCAGGGGAGCAAACGGG
rnacentral:rRNA from 1 species